AAGUAAGAUGGAAGUCAGAUAUACCAUGCAAACUGUGAAGGACGGAUUCUCCAUUUCCCAAGACAAUUCCAAAAACUCGCUAUGUCUGUGAAUGAACAGAGUGGGGAACGUAUCUCCCGUCUCUUUCUUAUUUAACCAGAGCCUUAAUCAGAAGCUUAGGUCAGCAAAUCUGGAAGGUGAUAACACAAAAAGAGAACACGUGAACUUGUGUAUUACUUUACAUAAGGUACCAAGUGAGGGAACAUCAACAUCAGCCAAAACACAAAAUUUUGUUCAGAAAGGAGACUCGGCUGCAGGGGACAUGUGCACCCGCAGAAUUUAGAAGCAUCCCCAGGACAGGUGUAGUUGAAGGUCAAGGGUCUGUGGCUUCCUUCAGGGUCUGGCUUCCUCUGCAUCAGAGACACUGGAAGAUUCACGCCCAGACUUAGGGUCACAAUGCCUACAUGGAAAUACCUAUGACAUCAUCAGAAACUCUCCUCUUAUUCUAUAGCCUACAUGGAAAUACAGACCUAUGACAUCAUCAGACACUCCCCUUUUAUUCUAUAGCCUACAUGGAAAUACCUAUGACAUCAUCACACAAAUUGGAAGUUCUAAUAAAUUCAAUGACUUUACAUCAGAUAGAGGACUAUGUUCUAAAGGAAAGUUUAUGUUAGUAACAGAAAUUUUAGUCAUUAACCUAGAGUUUUAUUAUUGAGGUGUGAUUAUGUUCCAAAUACCAUCAUUGUCAGCAAACUCCUGCAGGGCACUCAUCUUCUCUGGGCACAGCCUCCCCCUCAAGCGUCCCACCCUAGAGCUUGCUAUAUAGUAGGACACAUGCAAAUAGGUCCCCCCAGUACUGAUGAAAACCAGCGCAGCCCUGACCCUGCAGCUCUGAGAGAGGAGCCUUAGCCCUGGGGUUCCAAGGCAUUUCCACCUGCUGAUCAGCACUGAACACAGAGGACUCAGCAUGGAGUGGGGGCUGAGCUGGGUUUUCCUUGUUGCCGUUUUAGAAGGUGUCCAGUGUGAGGUGCAGCUGGUGGAGUCUGGGGGAGGCUUGGUUCAGCCCGGGGGGUCCCUGAGACUCUCCUGUGCGGCCUCUGGAUUCACCUUCAGUAACUACUACAUGAGCUGGGUCCGCCAGGCUCCAGGGAAGGGGCUGGAGUGGGUCUCAUACAUUAGUUAUGAUGGUGGUAGCACGUACUACGCAGACUCCGUGAAGGGCCGAUUCACCAUCUCCAGAGACAACGCCAAGAACUCGCUGUAUCUGCAGAUGAACAGCCUGAGAGCCGAGGACACGGCCGUGUAUUACUGUGCGAGAGACACAGUGAGGGGAAGUCAGCGUGAGCCCGGACACAAACCUCCUGCAGGGGACCCCGCCACCACCAGGGGGCGCCCGGGCGCUGUGCACGGGGCUGUCUCGGGCAGGUGCAGGUGCGGCUGAGGGCUGGCUUCCUGUCAGGAUCUGGGGCUGCCUCAUAGUCACAUUUCCCCAGGGAACCUCCAGGAUUUACAAUUCUGUACUAACCUUUAAUGUCUCUAAAUGCAAAACUUUUUGUUCUCCUUUUCGUUUCUUUUUGUAACAGCAAAUCCUCACAUCACAGUUUUAAUUCCACAGUGUCACUUUGGGGGCAGAAAUAAUCCUUUCCUGGUCAACAGAAUGAGAGUCCUGAAGAAUCCCUGGGAAACCUGGGGAGGGUUCUCCAGCUGGACUCAGGGCAGAGACGUCCAUUUGAUUACAACAGGCUUUGAGUUCUGAUGGGAGCCAAGGGACAGGCUCACCCAGGGUCGGGGUCCUUAAAACCUGAUGGUAUCACAGCUGUCUCCCUCGUCUUGUAAAACUGCUGCACAUCUGACUCAGACUGAUUCAGUUAACCCUCUUUCUAUAAUCCGUUUUCCUUCUCUGUAGA